rnacentral:misc_RNA from 1 species
GAAUCGCGAUAGGAAUUGCGAAUUGCAGAAUUCAGUGAAUCAUCGUAACUUUGAACGCAAACUGCGCUUGGGGGUUGACCCUGAGCAUGCCUCUUUGAGUGUCGGUCAAACCAUCCUACUGGUUUUCCAUAGGGUCGUGAGGGUCCGCAAGGUCUCUUUAAGCAUGUGCAGCGUCCUUCGGGAUCAGAGUCUGGCAGACGUGUGCGAGAUCACGCGCGAGUGGAGAUGAAAGUUUUCAUGAGCGAUCAAGUGCUGUCUCGCUAGACUCGUGCUCUGGCGUGUCGCAAGACACUCUUUUUCUGACCAUCGACCUCAAAUGAGGUAGGAUUACCCGCUGAACUUAA